rnacentral:rRNA from 1 species
AUGGACGGGGGCACCUCUAGCAAGAGACGAGUAGGAGCCCCAGGAGAGGGACAGAGCAGCAGCAAGAGGCAGAAUGCAACCAUGGGGAUGGACGCCCUCGACUGCCCCGUCUGCUUUCAUCCCCUCAGGCCUCCCAUAUACCAGAAAGAAGAGCAUGAGAAGGCAUGCCCGAGCGCCCCAUGUUUAUGCCCGGCGUCCAGCUGCAGCUUUGCUGGGGCAAUAGACGCCCUCCUUGAACAUUCCGCCUCCCAGCACAAGUGGCCGUGUACAACCAUCAAAUACUCCGAAGAUGUUGAGCUCUGCCUAGAACCAGGUCUACAUUUUCUUCGUACCAAAGACAGGGAAAUUUUCCUGCUCAACGUGGCAUUAGAGCCAUUCGGGCAUGCCAUCUCUGUCGUCUGCAUCCAACCUAAAGCUAUAAACUCCAAGUUCAAGUGUAGGAUGUCCUAUUGUUCCUUUUUGACCGACUAUUAUCAGAGAUCAGUUUACAAGAUACGAAGCUCAUCAUUGUCUGAUGGGCUACCGAAGGGGUACAACAUAAUUCUGCCCAAGGAUGAGAUAGUUGAUGAUGGAAAGGGCACCUUGCUUACGUUCUCCAUUGAUGAUCCUAAUCCUAAAUUAAAGGUGCGUGAACCCAUAUGUCUGAAACCAGUACGCGGUGUAUGA